rnacentral:misc_RNA from 1 species
AAAGAUUACAGAUUCAACAUCAAAAGCAACCAUUUCAUGCUAUUACAAUUUGGAAUUGAAGGGUGGAGGUGAAUGAAUGGGCUAGAGGCAAGAGUCCAUAAAAUAUGGAAAUUGGGCUCACUUUGACUCGGACCAACCAUUGCCAAAAUGUUAGAACUAAUCAAUUUGUUGGCCCUUACACUGGGAAAUUGAACUUGAUAAUGAACUGAAACUAAAACCGGGCCUAACCUGCUCUGAAGCCAUAUUACAAUUUUGAAUUGAAGGGUAGAGGUGAAUGAAUGUGUAGAGGACAAGAGGCAAGAGUCCAUGACGUACAAAGAUUGGGCUUACUUGGACUUGGACAAACCAUAAAGGGUUAGAACUAACCAAUUAGUUAG